AACGAACGCUGGCGGCAUGCCUGACACAUGCAAGUCGAACGAGACCUUCGGGUCUAGUGGCGCGCGGGUGCGUAACGCGUGGGAACCUGCCCUUAGGUUCGGAAUAACUCCCCGAAAGGGGUGCUAAUACCGGAUAAUGUCUUCGGACCAAAGAUUUAUCGCCUUUGGAUGGGCCCGCGUUGGAUUAGCUAGUUGGUAGGGUAAAAGCCUACCAAGGCGACGAUCCAUAGCUGGUCUGAGAGGAUGAUCAGCCACACUGGGACUGAGACACGGCCCAGACUCCUACGGGAGGCAGCAGUGGGGAAUAGUGGACAAUGGGCGAAAGCCUGAUCCAGCAAUGCCGCGUGAGUGAUGAAGGCCUUAGGGUUGUAAAGCUCUUUUACCCGGGAUGAUAAUGACAGUACCGGGAGAAUAAGCUCCGGCUAACUCCGUG
rnacentral:rRNA from 1 species